UCUAAUACCGGAUAUGACACGCUCCCGCAUGGGAUGCGUGUGGAAAGCUCCGGCGGUGCAGGAUGAGCCCGCGGCCUAUCAGCUUGUUGGUGGGGUGAUGGCCUACCAAGGCGACGACGGG
rnacentral:rRNA from 1 species